AGCGUGGCUUGCAGAGCGGCUUGAGGCACUUCAGAUUGCGCUCAUAACCCAGAGGUCGCAGGUUCAAAUCCUGCCCCCGCUACAA
rnacentral:tRNA from 1 species